AGAACUGUGGGCAGCUAGAGUACCUACCAGAUGGGCUCAAGAACCUGACAUCACUCAUGCGUUUCGAGAUUUCAGACUGUCCUCAGCUUUUAUGCUUGCCAAAUGAUGGUCUGCCAACUAAACUUCAGUUCUUGAGCAUCAACAACUGUCCGGAGCUCGGGCGACGGUGCAAAGUUGAGGAAGGUGAAGACUGGCCCAAGAUUGAGCACAUCUUCUCGGUAUGGAUUGAUAAGCAACUAGUGGGUCAUCUAGUUCAGCCUCAAUACGAAGAUCAGAGCACGCGCCCACUGUAUGAAGGGCAAAGCUCAGGGCAAUAAAUCGGAAUGAUUGCAAAGGUGCCAUCACCUCUAUCAUGGUAUGCUAUCCUAUAAAGGCAGGUAUCAAGGCAAUGAAUUCAUUUCAUAGUUUGAUGUUUCUAUCGUGAUGUGGAGCAGCAAAGUCUCACGGAUGGGUAUCAUAUGAUGAGGAGCAUAGCUUCAGAUGCUCUCUCUCUCUCUCUCUCUCUCUCUCUCUCUCUCUCUCUCUCUGUGUGUGUGUGUGUGUGUGUGUGUGUGUGUGUGUGUGUUUGUGCUUUAUAAGUCAAGAUCUUGGAAGUGUCAGGAGCAUGGCUUUUGGUGCUUGCAGUAUUCCUUGUGAGGACUUUGAUGCAGUUACAUUCUAAGUUCCAUACUCUGUACUUUGAUUUGUCAUGAACCCACGAUCAGUUUCAAAACUUCUUUAUGUACUUGUGGUUCAAAACACAGAGUAAUUGCCUCAAAAGAGAGAAGGAUGAGGUUUUGAGAGAAUCCAAAAUAGAUAAGUCAUACCAAAUGAUAGCCCUAGGUACAACAUUUCUACCACAUAUGACAGAUGGACAGAUGGACAGAUGGAAUUGAACAAUACUGCUG